UUAAAUUGUAUAAAUUCAUACAACAUAUUCAAAAUUAAAUAUAUUCAUACAACAUAAUCAAAAUGAUAAUAGUUCACUAUCAAAUAUGAAUAAAUACAUAAUGAAUAUUUAAAAUAAUGAUGUUGCACCAUCCUAAAGUAAGUUCCCCAUCAUUAAAUUACAAAUAAAAUUAUAUUUUGUUUUCAAAUUGAAACACAAAUAUGGAAAGUUGGUAAGGAUGGAAAUGACAUGAUGUUUAGAGAGAUUAAUGAAAAGAAAAAAAAGA
rnacentral:lncRNA from 1 species